CUUUUCGAGGUCGGCCGCGUGGCUGGAAGACAUGGCCACUCCAGUCGGUGUUGAGCACGGCGAGCAGUCUCAGGCCUUUAGUGAUGAUGGUGCAGUCAGCCUCAGUUUCCAAAGCCGGAAAAGGAUCCUCUAGUAGCCACGGUGUGGCAGCUGCUCUGAACCAGGACCUGGACCCGGACCCAAAGUGCCAUGUCUUUAAUGUGAGUAAGUAGACGAACUGGUAAACAGGCUUGGUUUGGUUUGGGGGAGUGGUAAUCUUUUUUGCUUCCCCUGCUCUGGACUUAAAGCAAUGGGGGCAGGGAGACUUUAGUAGCAUUUUGUUGCUAGGUGUCUGCAAUAAGAGACGAAACUGAACUGCUUUGCCGGAAACAAGUGAAAUGAUUGCUUUCCUGUUUGUAAGAUUUGUUUACAUCUUUCGUAUCCGUAAGAAGUCCCACAAGCCUAUGAUGGUUAGUUAUCCCUGUCUGAAAAUCUGGACUGAGGGAAAUAAUCUAUUCUGAGGCUUAAGGGUUUGGCUCCAUGGUUUUUUUUUUGUUUUUGUUUUUUUUCCCCUUUUUUUUUCCCUCAGCAUAUCCUGCUGAGAGCCCAGUCUAGAGCAUCAUUCCUCUAAAACGUGAAAAGCAAAUGAGUGAUUGUCCUGCUUUCUCUAGUCCUUUGAUUAUGGCUCUGAGGAUACAGGCUGUAUGAGGUGGCAGGAAUGCACAAGUACCCAGGAUUUGAUUUAUGCCCUUAUUGUGGAAUGAAAGUGCUUGUUACAUAUUUCAAGAAAAUGAAUGCGCUCUUAGAAACAGAUUGGAAUGUAGGAUGUAUGCCAGCUUGUGGCAAUGAGAAUGCUUAAUGACUCUGACCUUGCCUCUGCUCCAGGGUCCUGACAUUUAGGGGAAACCACGGCUGUUUGGUUUCUAUGUGCUUUGUUAAGGACGCCAGGGAGGUCUCCUAAGUUUGUAGCUUAGAUCCUGUCUGAAUGUCACGACUGGCAUGUGAGCAAGAAAGAAACCAAGUGGUGCUGGAGAGUGGGGUGCCCAGCUUUGUUCCCACUGGAAUGCCAGGCUUGAAGUGCACACAGAUUGCCUUUCUUUUCUGUUGAAAGGGGAGGUGUGGGCCGGGCGCGGUGGCUCACGCCUGUAAUCCCAGCACUUUGGGAGGCCGAGGCGGGUGGAUCAUGAGGUCAGGAGAUCGAGACCAUCCUGGCUAACAAGGUGAAACCCCGUCUCUACUAAAAAUACAAAAAAAUUAGCCGGGCGCGGUGGCGGGCGCCUGUAGUCCCAGCUACUCGGGAGGCUGAGGCAGGAGAAUGGCGUGAACCCGGGAAGCGGAGCUUGCAGUGAGCCGAGAUUGCGCCACUGCAGUCCGCAGUCCUGCCUGGGUGACAGAGCGAGACUCCGUCUCAAAAAAAAAAAAAAAAAAAAGAAAGGGGAGGUGUGUGCAAACUCUUUGUAUUUAAGGUUGUGUUUUUGCUGGACACCAAAGAAGCUGUAUUCUGGGUGAGAUUUAAUGAGCCUAAAAACUGGCCCCAGUAGUUUACAGCCUGCAAGUAAAACAGUGAAAAGGGUAGCUUAUCAAGUGGUUAUUGUCUGCUGAGUGGACUUGACUACAGAACUCAAGUAAACCAUAAGAUUUGACUUGAAAUGUUUCUAUCCAGAGGGAGUGCUUUCUGAUAGUUGUUUACUGGCCUCUUACCAGAAACUGCUCCCUCAGAGAUACUGUCUCCUUAAAAUGAGUCAUCCUGGAUCUCCACCAGCCUGCACCAAAAUGGUGUGAUAGUGCCCCGUUACGCUCCCCCAACGCGCACAUGCCUGCCGGUGGUGAGAGUGAGUGCUCUUGGACUGACUGCCUGUUCUCCCAAAUUAGUUGUUAUAUAGCAUUCAGUUUUGAGUCACUUCCUUGGCUGUUACUUCAAAUUAUUCUUCUGUUUUAUAGGUUAGCUCCCAGCGAUGCCAGAUGGGAUCAGCACAGCCCUGCCUCUGCUGCUAAUUGUUCCUCUAAAGUAAUCGCCAUGCGUUCUUUGGGCUUCAUCUUUAAAGGAAUGAAGCAACUGAGAUUAUUCUGGAAAACCUUUUGGCAGUUAGUGAAAUUAGAGUACAACUAAGAACAUUUUCAGACCUCCACUGUGGAUGACCUGGGUAUAAUCUCACAAAUCGAUGGGACUGCAAGGAUUGUAAACUGAAAUGAACAUGAUUAUACUCUGUUGGAAGAGCCUAAGAGGAAACUGAUGCCAUGAGUUUCAGAGAGUAAUGCUUAACCCCAGUUACACAGGAUGCCGUCUUGUGUUUCCUCUUGUUUAGUUACCCACUACAGUGAUUUUGUGAUCUGCUAAUGGGUUGCCACCCACAACCAUUGCUUUAGCACUUUUACUUCAAAUCAAUGAAGGAUUGAUAAAAGUUCUCCUGGUGUCUCCGCAGAGUGCCUUCCAG
rnacentral:lncRNA from 1 species